UACGUAGGGUGCAAGCGUUAAUCGGAAUUAUUGGGCGUAAAGCGCGUGUAGGCGGCCUUGCAAGUCGGGUGUGAAAGCCCUCAGCUCAACUGAGGAAGCGCGCCCGAAACUGCAGAGCUUGAGUACCGGAGAGGAUGGCGGAAUUCCCCAAGUAGAGGUGAAAUUCGUAGAUAUGGGGAGGAACACCGGUGGCGAAGGCGGCCAUCUGGACGGAUACUGACGCUGAGACGCGAAAGCGUGGGGAGCAAACAGG
rnacentral:rRNA from 1 species